rnacentral:tRNA from 1 species
GGUCGCAUAGUGUAAUUGGCUAGCACGCUCUCAAAAAACUCCGGGAGAGAUGUCGGUUCAAAUCCGGCUGUGGCCC